UGGGGAAUUUUGGACAAUGGGGGCAACCCUGAUCCAGCCAUGCCGCGUGAGUGAAGAAGGCCUUCGGGUUGUAAAGCUCUUUCGGCGGGGACGAAACGGUCCGUGACAACACCACGGACUAAUGACAGUACUCGCAGAAGAAGCACCGGCUAACUACGUGCCAGCAGCCGCGGUAAUACGUAGGGUGCGAGCGUUAAUCGGAAUUACUGGGCGUAAAGCGUGCGCAGGCGGCGACAUAAGACAGAUGUGAAAUCCCCGGGCUCAACCUGGGAACUGCGUUUGUGACUGUGUUGCUAGAGUGUAGCAGAGGGGGGUGGAAUUCCACGUGUAGCAGUGAAAUGCGUAGAGAUGUGGAGGAACACCGAUGGCGAAGGCAGCCCCCUGGGUUAACACUGACGCUCAUGCACGAAAGCGUGGGGAGCAAACAGGAUUAGAUACCCUAGUAGUCCCUGAGCGGGCUGGCAAGGCGCAU
rnacentral:rRNA from 1 species